ensembl:lncRNA
UUUUGCCUUUCAUAUUUCUAUUUUUUCUUCUUCCUCUAUGACAUUUUAGUCACAACAUAUUUUGAAAUAUAUUCAAAUUUCAAAGUAUUUUUCACAAAUCAGUUUACAAAGAUGAAGAACGGGAUGUGACACAAAAAAUGAGAGAAAAUAAAGCACAACAGAAACACCCACAGAUGUUUUUUGAAUGUUAAGUUUCCCAAUAAUAAAAAAAUGAUUAAGGAAGAGCCAGGCCACCCACACAAUAAUUGUACCAAAAGGAAAAAGGACAUUGGUAAGCAUCUAAACAAGUACAGAUUUAGGGAAUGCAUUCAUUUUUAUAAGCUGCACUGUUACGGUAGUGACAGGUAGGUUGCUCCAUCUAAGAAAAUCUUUUUUUUUCAUACUUUCAACCGAGGGGUUAAAGCUUUUCAUCCCCCAUGACAUGUUUAGGGUUACAGACAUGUUACAUACUGACAUACGUGCCAUGGGAUACUUUUAUUCAGGUUUUUUUAAAAACAUUUUUCAAUAUUCCGUUUUUGACUAUUUUCAUGACAAAGGGGAGAUUUCCAUGACAUGUAAUUGGCAUAUUGUAACUUUUGACUUUUGUUUUCUCCAUUGCAUUUUUAGACAACAUAUUUUGGAAUUUUGUUUUUGGUGUAAGUGGAAAUCAUUUUACAAAAAUGAAGAUGAAAAGGACAUGAAAAUACAGGAAACAAACAAAAAUAGAUUCCCAUUCAUUUACAUAGAGUGUCUGCUAUAGUUAAGUAGUUACAUUUAGUUAGAGUUAAUCAGACAGAGUGGAAAUAUGAAAUGAAAGGUUGCCGUUUGUGAAGUGCUCAUUACAGCCUCUGAGAGCACACAUUUAAAAGUCUAAAUAUAUUAGGUCAAAACAUGUGAGGUGGAAAUGUCAUGGGACAGAUAUUAGGUCAAUUUUUUUUUUUAAAUAAUCACAGUAUAGCAUGUUGAACAAAGCAACAGUAGAGCAUGAAACAAAGUGUAAUUGUCUGCCAGCUACGAUGCAUGUGUUGUUUCCACAUGAUUCAGUUUAGAACU